UACGUAGGCAGCGAGCGUUGUUCGGAAUUACUGGGCGUAAAGAGCGUGUAGGCGGCGCUCUAAGUUCGGUGUGAAAUCUCCCGGCUUAACUGGGAGGGUGCAUUAGAAACUGGAAUGCUAGAGGAUGGGAGAGGUAAGCGGAAUUCCUGGUGUAGCGGUGAAAUGCGUAGAUAUCAGGAGGAACACCGGUGGUGUAGACGGCUCUCUGGACCGUAACUGACGCUGAGGCACGAAAGCGUGGGUAGCAAACAGG
rnacentral:rRNA from 1 species